ensembl:lncRNA
GUUUAAUUUCGGUUCUCCCUUGAGCUGGCCCGCUGUUCUAACAGCAUCUCCUACUCUAAUAAACUUUAUUCUCCUCUCAUUCUGCCUCAGGUCUGGAAAUUCUUUUCCAACCCGUGCCCGGACCACGACACGACUUUUUACGACCUCAUGGAUGUAGCCCGUCAGGGCCCUCUGUCCAUGGGAUUUCCCAGGCGGAUUCUGAGCCACCAGAGAAGCCCCAGCCUUUCUGAUAACCAUUAAGAAAGAACAAGUGGGUGUGCCACACCAGCCGAUGAUGAGGCAUCCCUGUUCUGCUCAUGACUUGAACUGUGAUUUAUUCUGUGGUCCUUGCUGAACAGAUCUGCCUUGGGUUUCUGCUGGUGAGUUUUUCAGCAGGAAUGCAGGCUUUGUUUCUUUGAAUAGUUGAGUGCAGAUUAGUGGUAUGCCAAUUUCCUGUGGCCUUUCAGAGCUGCAAUUUGAGCCCUGUUUGCUCCUGGCCCUUGCACAGCAGAAAACAAUGGGUGACUUCUUUUAGGUUUCACUUCAGGGCUCUUAGAAACAGGGGAAGUGGCUAAAGCCCUACUUUACAGGUAAUUAACAAUAGAUAAUGUUUGCUCUGCAUUUUUUAGGGCCGAUAAAAGGUAGAAGAACAUAUUCAGCUCCCGAUUUAGACACUGUGCAGUGGUUUUACGGAUACAAAAGCUGUCUUAGCAUCAACAAGGUGGCAUUGAAAUCUGGGUCACAUAUAUGACUGAGCACAAAACUUUUAAAAAAUAGAAGAAAAAGGAAUUAAAAAAAAAAAAAACACUGACAGAUUGAAGGCCGUUUUGGAGCUGUAAGCAAGGUAGAUUUCUUCGGUGUACAUCAGUCUCAUACUAGAAGGCUGACACGUUUCAUUUUCCAUGAUGAAAGAACUCAUUUGCUGAGACAACUGAUGCCCUUAGGAAGAAGUGACAACCCUAUUUUGAUUUUAUUUAAUUAACCUUUUACAAUGACUCCUAGAUAGGUUAAGUGUUUUGCCAAAAUUCAGGUAUUUGAAGGCAGCAAUGAGCUCACUUAAUUUCUCUGUUUUAAACAGAGUGCUUUUGAUGGUUUACUAGACACG